UACGUAGGGGGCAAGCGUUGUCCGGAUUCACUGGGUGUAAAGGGCGCGCAGGCGGGCCGGUAAGUCAGAGGUGAAAUCCUGCAGCUUAACUGCAGAACUGCCUUUGAUACUGCUGGUCUUGAGUUCAGAAGAGAGAAGCGGAAUUCCAGGUGUAGUAGUGAAAUACGUAGAUAUCUGGAAGAACACCGGUGGCGAAGGCGGCUUCUUGGUCUGUAACUGACGCUCAGGCGCGAAAGCGUGGGUAG
rnacentral:rRNA from 1 species